AUUACUGGGCGUAAGCGUGCGUAGGCGGUUGUUUAAGUCAGAUGUGAAAGCCCCGGGCUUAACCUGGGAACUGCAUUUGAUACUGGGUAACUAGAGUUUAAUAGAGGAGAGUGGAAUUUCAGGUGUAGCGGUGAAAUGCGUAGAGAUCUGAAGGAACACCAGUGGCGAAGGCGACUCUCUGGAUUAAAACUGACGCUGAGGUACGAAAGCGUGGGUAGCAAACAGGAUUAGAUACCCUGGUAGUCCACGCCGUAAACGAUGUCAACUAGCCGUUGGGCCUUUUAACAGGAUUAGUGGCGCAGCUAACGCAUUAAGUUGACCGCCUGGGGAGUACGGCCGCAAGGUUAAAACUCAAAUGAAUUGACGGGGGCCCGCACAAGCGGUGGAGCAUGUGGUUUAAUUCGAUGCAACGCGAAGAACCUUACCUACCCUUGAC
rnacentral:rRNA from 1 species